rnacentral:rRNA from 1 species
GACGAACGCUGGCGGCGUGCCUAACACAUGCAAGUCGAACGGACAGGCCCUGCUCUUGUGGGGUGCUCGAGUGGCGAACGGGUGAGUAUAACGUGUGUAACCUGCACUUGUCUUUGGGAUAACUUCAGGAAACAGGGGCUAAUAUCGGAUAGGAGCUCCUGCUGCAUGGUGGGGGUUGGAAAGUUUCGGCGGUUGGGGAUGGACUCGCGGCUUAUCAGCUUGUUGGUGGGGUAGUGGCUUACCAAGGUUUUGACGGAUAGCCGGCCUGAGAGGGUGACCGGCGACAAUAGGACUACGGGACGGACCAGUCGCCUACGGGAGGCAACAGUGGGAAAUAUUACACAAUGGGCGGAAGCCUGAUACGGCGACGCCGCGUGCGGGAUGACGGCCUUCGGGUUGUAAACCGCUUUCGCCGGUGACGAAGCGGGAGUGACGGUAAUUAGUAAAGAAGCACCGGCUAACUACGUG